CCGUCGAUAGCUCAGUUGGUAGAGCGGUGGACUGUAGAUCCAUAGGUAGCUGGUUCGAAUCCGGCUCGACGGA
rnacentral:tRNA from 1 species